rnacentral:siRNA from 1 species
CAAAUCUGUGGCAUGCAAGAAUGG